rnacentral:rRNA from 1 species
UACGUAGGCAGCAAGCGUUGUUCGGAAUUACUGGGCGUAAAGAGUGUGUAGGCGGUGCUCUAAGUUCGGUGUGAAAUCUCCCGGCUUAACUGGGAGGGUGCGCCGGAAACUGGAGUGCUCGAGCGUGGGAGAGGAAAGCGGAAUUCCUGGUGUAGCGGUGAAAUGCGUAGAUAUCAGGAGGAACACCUGCGGUGUAGACGGCUUUCUGGACCAUUGCUGACGCUGAGGCGCGAAAGCGUGGGGAGCAAACAGG